UGGGGAAUAUUGGACAAUGGGCGCAAGCCUGAUCCAGCCAUGCCGCGUGAACGAUGAAGGCCUUAGGGUUGUAAAGUUCUUUUGUCAGGGAAGAUAAUGACGGUACCUGAAGAAUAAGCACCGGCUAACUUCGUGCCAGCAGCCGCGGUAAUACGAAGGGUGCUAGCGUUAAUCGGAAUUACUGGGCGUAAAGCGUGCGCAGGCGGUUCGCCAAGUCAGGUGUGAAAUCCCCGGGNUUAACCUGGGAAUUGCGCUUGAAACUAGCGGGCUUGAGUGUGGCAGAGGGGGGUGGAAUUCCACGUGUAGCAGUGAAAUGCGUAGAGAUGUGGAGGAACACCGAUGGCGAAGGCAGCCCCCUGGGUCAACACUGACGCUCAUGCACGAAAGCGUGGGGAGCAAACAGGAUUAGAUACCCCAGUAGUCCCUGAGCGGGCUGGCAAGGCGCAU
rnacentral:rRNA from 1 species